rnacentral:misc_RNA from 1 species
UUAUUUUAGUGAUUAUUUUAAAACUUUAUUAUUAUUAUUAUUGAAGGACCUACUUAUAGAACUCUUGAAAGUUUACGGGUUAAAUCGUAAUAUUUUAUAAAAAAUAAAUUGGCCAAUCAAGAUGUGAACAGCCCCCCACGAGUUAUCCUAUCAACCCCCUUUUUGGUAAGCCUAAACCUAGCGCUAGCAAGCUCUUGUCGGUGACAACAACUUCGGUGGCCCAUAAACGAUGGCAACACAGGUGUUUUCUAAUGAGAAACUAAAGGAGAGAACGAAUUCAUAGCCAACAACUUCCAUUGAUGUUUUCGACAAUCCAUGCAUCAAAUGGUUGUGAUUCAGUUGGCAAUGAUUUUCCCUCAACCUACUUCAUUUCUCGACCAAUAUAUGGUGGCCGUUUUCAUGGCUGUUUCCGGCAAGGAAAGGAGGCUGAUUCUUUUUGGUCAAAUCUCGACCAAACAAUGUCCCAUUCAGAUAAUUAGAUCCAAGGAUCAUGACCUCUGUGCCUCAACCUUCAUUUUGAUGCCUUGAUCAUAUAUUAGAUGACGAAGAUAACUGAGUGUAAAUUAGCCAAUCUAUAACAAUUGGAGAGGAAUUUUGACGAAUGGACUUCGGGUCAUGACUAAUGGACUCUAGGCAUCUCGUAUGUGCAUUCGGA